GGGUAUAGACCCGAAACCCGGUGAUCUAGCCAUGGGCAGGUUGAAGGUUGGGUAACACUAACUGGAGGACCGAACCGACUAAUGUUGAAAAAUUAGCGGAUGACUUGUGGCUGGGGGUGAAAGGCCAAUCAAACCGGGAGAUAGCUGGUUCUCCCCGAAAGCUAUUUAGGUAGCGCCUCGUGAAUUCAUCUCCGGGGGUAGAGCACUGUUUCGGCAAGGGGGUCAUCCCGACUUACCAACCCGAUGCAAACUGCGAAUACCGGAGAAUGUUAUCACGGGAGACACACGGCGGGUGCUAACGUCCGUCGUGAAGAGGGAAACAACCCAGACCGCCAGCUAAGGUCCCAAAGUCAUGGUUAAGUGGGAAACGAUGUGGGAAGGCCCAGACAGCCAGGAUGUUGGCUUAGAAGCAGCCAUCAUUUAAAGAAAGCGUAAUAGCUCACUGGUCGAGUCGGCCUGCGCGGAAGAUGUAACGGGGCUAAACCAUGCACCGAAGCUGCGGCAGCGACGCUUAUGCGUUGUUGGGUA
rnacentral:rRNA from 1 species